rnacentral:rRNA from 1 species
UACGUAGGGGGCUAGCGUUGUCCGGAAUCAUUGGGCGUAAAGCGCGUGUAGGCGGUUCGGUAAGUCCGCUGUGAAAGUCGGGGGCUCAACCCUCGGAUGCCGGUGGAUACUGUCGGACUAGAGUACGGAAGAGGCGAGUGGAAUUCCUGGUGUAGCGGUGAAAUGCGCAGAUAUCAGGAGGAACACCGAUUGCGAAGGCGGAUCUCUGGGCCAUUACUGACGCUGAGGAGCGAAAGCGUGGGGAGCGAACAGG